AUCUUACGCCAUACCACCCUGAACGCGCCUGAUCUCAUCUGAUCUUGGAAGCUAAACAGGGUCGGGCCUUUAACAUCUUCAAUUGCCACUUUGGUCGAGUAGAUGAGUAAGUAU
rfam:Felis catus isolate Cinnamon breed Abyssinian chromosome A1, whole genome shotgun sequence.